rnacentral:rRNA from 1 species
AGCGAACGCUGGCGGCAGGCUUAACACAUGCAAGUCGAGCGGGCAUCCUUGUGGUGUCAGCGGCAGACGGGUGAGUAACGCGUGGGAACGUGCCCUUCGGUUCGGAAUAACUCAGGGAAACUUGAGCUAAUACCGGAUACGUGCGAGAGCAGAAAGGUUUAUCUGCCGAAGGAUCGGCCCGCGUCUGAUUAGCUAGUUGGUGAGGUUAUGGCUCACCAAGGCGACGAUCAGUAGCUGGUCUGAGAGGAUGAUCAGCCACACUGGGACUGAGACACGUCCCAGACUCCUACGGGAGGCAGCAGUGGGGAAUAUUGGACAAUGGGGGCAACCCUGAUCCAGCCAUGCCGCGUGAGUGAUGACGGCCUUAGGGCUGUAAAGCUCUUUUCUCCGGGACGAUAAUGACGGUACCGGAGGAAUAAGCCCCGGCUAACUUCGUG